GGGCGUUAAGUUGCAGGGUAUAGACCCGAAACCCGGUGAUCUAGCCAUGGGCAGGUUGAAGGUUGGGUAACACUAACUGGAGGACCGAACCGACUAAUGUUGAAAAAUUAGCGGAUGACCUGUGGCUGGGGGUGAAAGGCCAAUCAAACCGGGAGAUAGCUGGUUCUCCCCGAAAGCUAUUUAGGUAGCGCCUCGUGAACUCAUCUCCGGGGGUAGAGCACUGUUUCGGCUAGGGGGCCAUCCCGGCUUACCAACCCGAUGCAAACUGCGAAUACCGGAGAAUGUUAUCACGGGAGACACACGGCGGGUGCUAACGUCCGUCGUGAAGAGGGAAACAACCCAGACCGCCAGCUAAGGUCCCAAAGUCAUGGUUAAGUGGGAAACGAUGUGGGAAGGCCCAGACAGCCAGGAUGUUGGCUUAGAAGCAGCCAUCAUUUAAAGAAAGCGUAAUAGCUCACUGGUCGAGUCGGCCUGCGCGGAAGAUGUAACGGGGCUAAACCAUGCACCGAAGCUGCGGCAGCGACACUUUAGUGUUGUUGGGUAGGGGAGCGUUCUGUAAGCCGUUGAAGGUGUGUCGUGAGGCAUGCUGGAGGUAUCAGAAGUGCGAAUGCUGACAUAAGUAACGAUAAAGCGGGUGAAAAGCCCGCUCGCCGGAAGACCAAGGGUUCCUGUCCAACGUUAAUCGGGGCAGGGUGAGUCGACCCCUAAGGCGAGGCCGAAAGGCGUAGUCGAUGGGAAACGGGUUAAUAUUCCCGUACUUGGUGUUACUGCGAAGGGGGGACGGAGAAGGCUAUGUUGGCCGGGCGACGGUAGUCCCGGUUUAAGCGUGUAGGUGUGUGUUCCAGGCAAAUCCGGUUCACUUUAACACUGAGGCGUGA
rnacentral:rRNA from 2 species